rnacentral:rRNA from 1 species
AAAUUGAAGAGUUUGAUCAUGGCUCAGAUUGAACGCUGGCGGCAGGCCUAACACAUGCAAGUCGAGCGGUAGCACAGAGAGCUUGCUCUCGGGUGACGAGCGGCGGACGGGUGAGUAAUGUCUGGGAAACUGCCUGAUGGAGGGAUAACUACUGGAAACGGUAGCUAAUACCGCAUAACGUCGCAAGACCAAAGUGGGGACCUUCGGGCCUCAUGCCAUCAGAUGUGCCCAGAUGGGAUUAGCUAGUAGGUGGGGUAAUGGCUCACCUAGGCGACGAUCCCUAGCUGGUCUGAGAGGAUGACCAGCCACACUGGAACUGAGACACGGUCCAGACUCCUACGGGAGGCAGCAGUGGGGAAUAUUGCACAAUGGGCGCAAGCCUGAUGCAGCCAUGCCGCGUGUAUGAAGAAGGCCUUCGGGUUGUAAAGUACUUUCAGCGAGGAGGAAGGCGUUAAGGUUAAUAACCUUGGUGAUUGACGUUACUCGCAGAAGAAGCACCGGCUAACUCCGUGCCAGCAGCCGCGGUAAUACGGAGGGUGCAAGCGUUAAUCGGAAUUACUGGGCGUAAAGCGCACGCAGGCGGUUUGUUAAGUCAGAUGUGAAAUCCCCGGGCUCAACCUGGGAACUGCAUUUGAAACUGGCAAGCUUGAGUCUUGUAGAGGGUAGAAUUCCAGUGUAGCGGUGAAAUGCGUAGAGAUCUGGAGGAAUACCGGUGGCGAAGGCGGCCCCUGGACAAAGACUGACGCUCAGGUGCGAAAGCGUGGGGAGCAAACAGGAUUAGAUACUGGUAGUCCACGCUGUAAACGAUGUCGACUUGGAGGUUGUUCCCUUGAGGAGUGGCUUCCGGAGCUAACGCGUUAAGUCGACCGCCUGGGGAGUACGGCCGCAAGGUUAAAACUCAAAUGAAUUGACGGGGCCCGCACAAGCGGUGGAGCAUGUGGUUUAAUUCGAUGCAACGCGAAGAACCUUACCUACUCUUGACAUCCAGAGAACUUAGCAGAGAUGCUUUGGUGCCUUCGGGAACUCUGAGACAGGUGCUGCAUGGCUGUCGUCAGCUCGUGUUGUGAAAUGUUGGGUUAAGUCCCGCAACGAGCGCAACCCUUAUCCUUUGUUGCCAGCGAUCCGGUCGGGAACUCAAAGGAGACUGCCAGUGAUAAACUGGAGGAAGGUGGGGAUGACGUCAAGUCAUCAUGGCCCUUACGAGUAGGGCUACACGUGCUACAAUGGCAUAUACAAAGAGAAGCGACCUCGCGAGAGCAAGCGGACCUCAUAAAGUAUGUCGUAGUCCGGAUUGGAGUCUGCAACUCGACUCCAUGAAGUCGGAAUCGCUAGUAAUCGUAGAUCAGAAUGCUACGGUGAAUACGUUCCCGGGCCUUGUACACACCGCCCGUCACACCAUGGGAGUGGGUUGCAAAAGAAGUAGGUAGCUUAACCUUCGGGAGGGCGCUUACCACUUUGUGAUUCAUGACUGGGGUGAAGUCGUAACAAGGUAACCGUAGGGGAACCUGCGGUUGGAUCACCUCCUUACCUGAAAGAA